AACGAACGCUGGCGGCAUGCCUAACACAUGCAAGUCGAACGAGACCUUCGGGUCUAGUGGCGCACGGGUGCGUAACGCGUGGGAACCUGCCCUUAGGUUCGGAAUAACUCCCCGAAAGGGGUGCUAAUACCGGAUAAUGUCUUCGGACCAAAGAUUUAUCGCCUUUGGAUGGGCCCGCGUUGGAUUAGCUAGUUGGUAGGGUAAAAGCCUACCAAGGCGACGAUCCAUAGCUGGUCUGAGAGGAUGAUCAGCCACACUGGGACUGAGACACGGCCCAGACUCCUACGGGAGGCAGCAGUGGAGAAUAGUGGACAAUGAGCGAAAGCCUGAUCCAGCAAUGCCGCGUGAGUGAUGAAGGCCUUAGGGUUGUAAAGCUCUUUUACCCGGGAUGAUAAUGACAGUACCGGGAGAAUAAGCUCCGGCUAACUCCGU
rnacentral:rRNA from 1 species